rnacentral:rRNA from 1 species
CAGUCGCCGCGGUAAUACGUAGGUGGCAAGCGUUAAUCGGAAUUACUGGGCGUAAAGCGUGCGCAGGCGGUUUUGUAAGACAGGCGUGAAAUCCCCGGGCUCAACCUGGGAAUGGCGCUUGUGACUGCAAAGCUAGAGUGCGGCAGAGGGGGAUGGAAUUCCGCGUGUAGCAGUGAAAUGCGUAGAUAUGCGGAGGAACACCGAUGGCGAAGGCAAUCCCCUGGGCCUGCACUGACGCUCAUGCACGGAAGCGUGGGGAGCAAACAGGAUUAGAUACCCCAGUAGUCCCUGUCUCUUAUAC